GCGACGACGGGUAGCCGGCCUGAGAGGGCGACCGGCCACACUGGGACUGAGACACGGCCCAGACUCCUACGGGAGGCAGCAGUGGGGAAUAUUGCACAAUGGGCGAAAGCCUGAUGCAGCGACGCCGCGUGAGGGAUGACGGCCUUCGGGUUGUAAACCUCUUUCAGCAGGGAAGAAGCGAAAGUGACGGUACCUGCAGAAGAAGCGCCGGCUAACUACGUGCCAGCAGCCGCGGUAAUACGUAGGGCGCAAGCGUUGUCCGGAAUUAUUGGGCGUAAAGAGCUCGUAGGCGGCUUGUCACGUCGGUUGUGAAAGCCCGGGGCUUAACCCCGGGUCUGCAGUCGAUACGGGCAGGCUAGAGUUCGGUAGGGGAGAUCGGAAUUCCUGGUGUAGCGGUGAAAUGCGCAGAUAUCAGGAGGAACACCGGUGGCGAAGGCGGAUCUCUGGGCCGAUACUGACGCUGAGGAGCGAAAGCGUGGGGAGCGAACAGGAUUAGAUACCCUGGUAGUCCACGCCGUAAACGGUGGGCACUAGGUGUGGGCAACAUUCCACGUUGUCCGUGCCGCAGCUAACGCAUUAAGUGCCCCGCCG
rnacentral:rRNA from 1 species